CCUAACACAUGCAAGUCGAACGAACCUUCGGGUUAGUGGCGGACGGGUGAGUAACGCGUGAGAAUCUGCCCUCAGGAGGGGGAUAACGGUUGGAAACGACCGCUAAUACCCCAUAUGCCUACUGGUGAAAUGAAUUUCGCCUGAGGAUGAGCUCGCGUCUGAUUAGCUAGUUGGUGAGGUAAUGGCUCACCAAGGCUUCGAUCAGUAGCUGGUCUGAGAGGAUGAUCAGCCACACUGGGACUGAGACACGGCCCAGACUCCUACGGGAGGCAGCAGUGGGGAAUUUUCCGCAAUGGGCGAAAGCCUGACGGAGCAACGCCGCGUGAGGGACGAAGGCCUCUGGGCUGUAAACCUCUUUUCUCAAGGAAGAAGAUAUGACGGUACUUGAGGAAUAAGCCACGGCUAAUUCCGUGCCAGCAGCCGCGGUAAUACGGGAGUGGCAAGCGUUAUCCGGAAUUAUUGGGCGUAAAGCGUCCGCAGGCGGCUUUUCAAGUCUGCUGUUAAAGCGUGGAGCUUAACUCCAUCAUGGCAGUGGAAACUGAAAGGCUUGAGUAUGGUAGGGGCAGAGGGAAUUCCCGGUGUAGCGGUGA
rnacentral:rRNA from 1 species